GCAGCACUCGGUUAACGGUAAACCACCUUACUUCGGAUAAGGAAUACUGGAUGUUCGAUUCAUCCGUGCUGUU
rnacentral:tRNA from 1 species